ACCCCAUACCUCGUUCUGACCAGUAGAUUGGCAACAUCACUCUUGUCCUUCCUAGUCUUGUCACAAGUGUCUUGGAUUAACAUCUGCACGUAUUCCUGAUCAUCCCCUGUCUUAGUUUCCAUUGCUGUGAAGAGACACCAUGACCAAGGCAACUUUUAGAACGGAAACAUUUCAUUGGGGCUGGCUUACAAAUUCUGAGGUUCAGUCCAUUAUCACCAUGGUGGGAAACACGGCAGCAUCUAUGCAGACACGGGGCUGGAGGAAGGCAGUCAAGAGGAGGGUCUCUUUCCACACUGGACAGAGCUUGAGCAGAGACACCUCAAAGCCCAGUGACAUACUCCCCCCAAUAAUGCCACACCUCCCAGUAGUGCCACAUUCCAUGGGCCAAGCAUAUACAAACCAUCAGAUCACCCUGACACAGAUGUCUAGAAGUUGAACUGCUACAUCAGAAUGACCGUUUGGAAAUUUCUAAUACAUCCAGGCUUCCAGAGCAUUCACGAUCUAAACUCCAAUUAGCAGGAAUUCAGUUUUGUUUUCUUUUGAGACUGGUCUCGUCAUCUAGCCCAGGCUGGCCUGAAACUCUGAGGUCCACCUGUCUCUGCUCUCAGAACGCUAGGAUUAAAGGUGUUCACCAGCUCCAGUUUCUACUUGCCAACACCAAGCAACUAUGUAAUGAAUUAGUGUUCUGUAUACUCUGCAUGUCUUUGGACAUUAAUUAAAACUAACUAACAGAAACACUGGCUUGCCAUUUGUGCCCUGGAUCCUAUUCCUCCUUCCCCCUUUUCUGUUGCAAUAUUUGCCUUUUGUUAGUGAUUUGUAAAAGCCUGCUAUAGACCAGUGGUUUUGUUUGUUUGUUUGUUUGUUUUUUAUUCUCUGAUCCAGUUAUUCAGUUAAUGAGUGGAGAAUAUAACUUGUUUUGCUGUUUAGAUGAGCUGCUCUUUCAGGCUGGAGCAGACUUUGGCAAAAACAUCCCAGGGCAAAAUGGUAGCCCCCACCUGUUUCCACAAAUAAGGUUUUUUUUUAUUAAAACAGCCAGUGCUUUCAUUUAUGUUUUGUGCAUGGAUACUUACACACUGAAAACCUGGUACACAGACCACAAGACCCACAAAACCUAAACUGUGAUCUUGGGACCCUUUACAGACGGGUCCAGAGCCAAAGAGAGAUGGUUCUUAGAUCUUCAGUCCCUCUAGCCCAGUCUAGGCAAGUAUGGGAACAGCUUGCUUCUGUUGUGCACUGGCUACAGCCUGCAGGGAUGGAGAUAAGACUGGCUGGGUACUUGGGGGUGGGGGGAAGGCAGGUAGGGAUCAGGUGAGUCUGAGGUUUUAGGUGAGAGCGUAGCUACAGACUAGCAAAGACUUGGAAGCAUUUGCCUCUGCUCAUGCAACUGAGUCCGUGUGUCACUGGCCAAUGGAGGUUUGUUUCAAUGUCUACUGCUAUGUGUGUGUAUGUGGGACGCGGGGUGCAUGUGGAGAUCAGAGGACAACAUUCGGGAGGCAGUUCCUCCUCCUAUCAUAUUUGCCCUGGGCAUCAAACUCAGGUCCUCUGGCUUGGCAGCAAGUGCAUUUGCCUGCUGAGCCAUCUCGCUGACCCCAUGCCUCUCCUGAGAGACGUUUGAAAUGAUCAGGGCAGGACCUGAGGCAUGUGGGAGGGAGAAGGUACAUUCUCUUCCCCUUACUUUGUUCUUGAAACCUGGCUGAGAACACUGGGCUUAGGAGGAGGGCCUCAGUGUCUGUCAGAGGUGAAAUGUUCACAAGUUCAAUGUUACUUUGAAAUGUUAAUCCUCUAGAUCCGCACCAUAGCCAUCAUAGCAGAAGGUAUCCCUGAGGCCCUCACACGGAAGCUCAUCAAGAAGGCCGACCAGAAGGGAGUGACCAUCAUUGGGCCAGCUACGGUGAGUGUGUGUGUGUGUGUGUGUGUGUAUGUGUGUGUAUGUAUGAAGCCAGGGUGGAUGUCAAGGAGUCUCUGUUAUUCUCCAUCUUAUUCCUUUGAGGCAGGGUCUCUCCCUGAACCUGGGGCUUUUAUAGUUUAUUGAUUAGACCAGAAGCCUGCAAGCCCUAAGUGACCUUGCUGUCUGCCUCCCUCAGUGCUGGGGUUACAGGUAUCAGAGGACAAUGACUAGCUGUUAUGAAACUGACUAAACUCUUAACCACUGCUCUUAACCACUGAGCCAUCUCCAGCCUCCCGGCCCCCUGGUUUGUAAAGGUCCCUUGUCACCGUCUUAUUCCUUUCAUAGUUAACAAGGGGUUAAUGGGUGAUAUUUGUUGUUUUUAAUGCUUUUGUCCUUAAAUGCAACUAUCAUGUAGUGUUUAAUUAUUCCAUUAACUAUAUGCCAAAUUAAAAAGCUAUCUGGGGGCUUAUUUUUUUACUCAGAACUUCACAUUAGAAGAAAUUGCUCUGUUUGUCUUAAUUUAGUUGUUGUGUAAACAUUGAAGCUGGGGCUGGAGAGAUGGCUGGGUGUUUAAGAGCCCUUGUUGCUCUUGUGGAAAACCCAGGCUCUGUUUCCAGCACCUAGAUGGCAGCUCACAACCUCUGUAACCCCAGUCCAGAGCAUCUGCCGUCGUCUUCUGGACUUGGCAUAUAGUACAUACACACAAAAUAAGCAAAAAUACCCAGAGUCAUAAAACGAAAAUAAAUUUAAAUAAAAAUUUGAAGCUAAGGCUUUGUGUGGUGGUGGUAACAUCUUUAUUUUCAGUACUUGGGAGCCAGAUGCAGGCAGAUCUCUUUUCGUUCAAGGAUAGUCUCCAUAAUGAUUUUCAGGCUAACUAGGGCUGCAUAGUGUGAUACUGUCUC
rnacentral:lncRNA from 1 species